GACGAGCGCUGGCGGCGCACCUCAUGCAUGCAAGUCGAACGAGGCUUCGGCCUAGUGGCGAACGGGUGAGUAACACGUGAGGAACCUGCCCCGGAGACCGGGAUAAGCCGGGGAAACCUGGUCUAAUACCGGAUGCCCCCGGCGGAGCGCAUGCUCUGCCGAGGAAAUGGAUUCCGCUCCGGGAUGGUCUCGCGACCUAUCAGCUUGUUGGCGGGGUAACGGCCCACCAAGGCAUCGACGGGUAGCUGGUCUGAGAGGACGAUCAGCCACACUGGGACUGAGACACGGCCCAGACUCCUACGGGAGGCAGCAGCAGGGAAUCUUGCGCAAUGGGCGAAAGCCUGACGCAGUGACGCCGCGUGUGGGAUGAAGGCUUUCGGGUUGUAAACCACUUUCAGCAGGGACGAUGAUGACGGUACCUGCAGAAGAAGCUCCGGCCAACUACGUGCCAGCAGCCGCGGUAAUACGUAGGGAGCGAGCGUGUCGGU
rnacentral:rRNA from 1 species